UACGAAGGGGGCUAGCGUUGCUCGGAAUCACUGGGCGUAAAGGGUGCGUAGGCGGGUCUUUAAGUCAGGGGUGAAAUCCUGGAGCUCAACUCCAGAACUGCCUUUGAUACUGAAGAUCUUGAGUUCGGGAGAGGUGAGUGGAACUGCGAGUGUAGAGGUGAAAUUCGUAGAUAUUCGCAAGAACACCAGUGGCGAAGGCGGCUCACUGGACCGGAACUGACGCUGAGGCGCGAAAGCGUGGGGAGCAAACGGG
rnacentral:rRNA from 1 species